CUUCAGCAGCAGCACAGGAGCUAUAGUUCAAACAAUAUAGUGAAGAUUAGCAUGGCUCCCAUGCCAGGAUGACAAUCAUAUUCAUCAAGCACUCCAUGUUUUC